UACGUAGGGUCCGAGCGUUGUCCGGAAUUAUUGGGCGUAAAGGGCUCGUAGGCGGUUUGUCGCGUCGGGAGUGAAAACUCAGGGCUCAACCCUGAGCGUGCUUCCGAUACGGGCAGACUAGAGGUAUUCAGGGGAGAACGGAAUUCCAGGUGUAGCGGUGAAAUGCGUAGAUAUCUGGAGGAACACCGGUGGCGAAGGCGGCAUCCUGGACCGACACUGACACUGAGGAGCGAAAGCCAGGGGAGCAAACGGG
rnacentral:rRNA from 1 species